rnacentral:rRNA from 1 species
ACGCUGGCGGCACGCCUAACACAUGCAAGUCGAACGAAGUAGCAAUACUUAGUGGCAGACGGGUGAGUAACAUGUGGGUAUCUGCCCUUUGGCCUGGAAUAACACGAGGAAACUUGUGCUAAUACUGGAUAAGUCUUUACGGAGAAAGCUUUAUGCACCAUUGGAUGAGCCCGCACUUGAUUAGUUUGUUGGUGGGGUAAUGGCCUACCAAGACUGUGAUCAAUAGCUGAUUUGAGAGGAUGAUCAGCCACAUUGGGACUGAGACACGGCCCAAACUCCUACGGGAGGCAGCAGUGGGGAAUCUUGCACAAUGGAGGAAACUCUGAUGCAGCGAUGCCGCGUGAGUGAAGAAGGCCUUUGGGUUGUAAAGCUCUUUCGUCGGGGAAGAAAAUGACUGUACCCGAAUAAGAAGGUCCGGCUAACUUCGUGCCAGCAGCCGCGGUAAUACGAAGGGACCUAGCGUAGUUCGGAAUUACUGGGCUUAAAGAGUUCGUAGGUGGUUGAAAAAGUUGGUGGUGAAAUCCCAGAGCUUAACUCUGGAACUGCCAUCAAAACUUUUCAGCUAGAGUUUGAUAGAGGAAAGCAGAAUUUCUAGUGUAGAGGUGAAAUUCGUAGAUAUUAGAAAGAAUACCAAUUGCGAAGGCAGCUUUCUGGAUCAUUACUGACACUGAGGAACGAAAGCAUGGGUAGCGAAGAGGAUUAGAUACCCUCGUAGUCCAUGCCGUAAACGAUGUGUGUUAGACGUUGGAAAUUUAUUUUCAGUGUCGCAGCGAAAGCGAUAAACACACCGCCUGGGGAG